UUGGCUAAGAUCAAGUGUAGUAUCUGUUCUUAUCAGUUUAAUAUCUGAUAUGUGGGCCAUGUGCUCACUUCGAUAUUAAAUUUAUUUUUUGUGGGGGAGGGUCCACCGCAGUGGCUUGCUACUGGGGCCCUCGAGCGUUGCACUGUUGCCCGGGCCUGGCGCACCCCAACCAAAUCAAAGGCAAACUUUGUGUUUGAACGAAAUUUUGAUUACUUCGCGAUAUUGUUUGAAGUCUGACGAAAUAUUUGGUUUUGGCGUUCCCUAUGUGCGUGGGUGCGCGGGCUCCGUUUGCCGGCGCGGCGGCGGCGGCGUCCGGUCUCCACGCGCCCGUGCGCUCCUAGGCCCCGUCGGCUGGAGGCCUAGGCGGCCCUGGAGAUAACGGAGGAGACCAAGUUCCCAUGGCCGUCGAGGGACAGAUCUGUCUCCCAGAGCAGGGACGGACAGACGGUGAAAAUAUCUUCGGUGACCAUAUUUUUGGAACUGCUGCAAAUGCUUCUUUUUGUUGGUUAAUCAAAUGAAAAAGUGAACCUCUCCCCUCGGAUGCUAUCAGGCAUUCAGGCUAAUUAGUCAAUGGAUGCUCGGCAAAACAUUUGUAGAUGAAAAGGAACCAUGUGUAUUGCAAUUCUGCAUACAUACUGCAAUGGUGCUCGGUGUGCAAGCUCAAUUAUUGAAUGCCAAUCCACAUAGCAUGCUUAAAGUUGAUUUUGGGUUUGACUAACUGAACUUGAUGCACAUAGCAUGCUUAAAACAUGAGCUACCAUUGCCACUAGGUUGUUUCAUUUGAUUUGGGAUUUAUAUGCGAAAGUACUGCUGGAGGAUGGCUUACCAGUAAUUCCUUUUGCGGUACCAGGAAUAACAUAUAUAUAUAUAUAUUGUUUUCUAUUUUAUAUGUUCUAUAAAUCUGAAGCUUGCAAAUUUGUCCUCCUAGAUAUCAUAAUUGUGGUCAAUUGUACUUGAUAUACAAAAUUAUCUGUAAUAUGUGCAGCAAUUUAGGAUUAUCCAAGACGAAGUACAUAUUCUACUGGGCUUCUACAGAAUAUGUCCAAUACUCUGGGCAAAAAAACUUAAUUGGUGUCCAUUUUUUGCUUGCGGAUAGCUAUCUCAGUCUAAAUGACAUCUCCUAAUUGUUCCUGUUUGGAUGGAAUCAUGAUUUUCAUAGUUUCAUGUGGUUCACCUGAAAGCUUUGGAAAGUAGCAAUUCUUAUGGCCUCCCUCUAGAAUUUCACUACAAGAACCUGUGAGGCAGAUAGGUGCAGUCAAGCUUUUCUGAGGAUUGGUGUGCAGUACCAAUGCUUUACCGAACAGGUUCGGCAUCUUCCUGGUGGAAUCUUAGGUUUGGUCAUUUACGGUUAUAGUAAAGUGUAUGGCUGCACUCCAUGGUUAUUUAUAUUAAUUUCAGCCAAUUGAAGGUUUUCACAGUCACCUUAUCUCAUCAGGUAUGAUAUCUGUACUUUACUGUACAUAACAGUGUGUGUUUGAUCAGGUUACAUGAAUUUUCCUCACAGUAAGAAGAUGAGUAUAAUGCAUCACACAUCGUGUUGUGAUCAGGUUGCGUGAAUUUUCACUGUUUGUAUCUCAAUUUUCAAUUUUUUUAGAACACAUGAAUUUUCACUGUUUGUAUCUCAAUUUUCAAUUUUUUCAUCAGGUUUUUUUAUAACACAUGAAUUUUCACUGUUUGCUAGGCCCCCCCGUCUUACUAGACAGAGCAUAACGUUUCAUACAGAGUUUUGCGAUACCAGCCGCAGGCCAAUAUCCAAAAGAAACCAAAGCCCUAAGACAGUUUUAACCAGACAGCAAGGAUAAACGCAACACAUAAGCUGAACUGUUUGCUACCUAAUAUUCACUUGCAGAAGAAGAUGCCAGAUUGCCAGCAGAGCAUUGUUGAAGAUGUCCUUUGAGCUGCAGGAUCUAAAUGAUGGCUUUACGCAAAUCAGGUCGGCACGAAUAACUUGGGAGUACAAGGUCACUGCAAGUAUGUGAAGACGGGACGAAGAACAACCCUUGCAGAAGAAGGUUGUGGUAGCUUUUCGCCUGAAAUACUGGUGGAAGCUAUUGCGCCUGAGCCUGAUCCUAGGUCCGAGCUGAAUGAAGAUGAUGCACCAUGAAAACAAACAAAGAUAAUCUGAGUUCUUUGGGGAAGACCAAAAUGGAGGGCGCUAGAAACACAUCUGAGUCCUGAGUUCCGAGCUAAAUGAACAGCACUAUGAAGUUGCUGAUGAAUGUUCCAGAUGGAGUUAGAAAUAAUUAAUUGAAUACCUCCCCUACCUGCUGCAAGCGUCAGGUUUGAUGCUUGCAGAAAUGAUGAAUCAACUUUACAUGACUAGUACUCUAGUUGAGGUGUCAGUUGUAAUCUACGACAAAAUUGAAUGGUUGAAUAUGAUGGGUCAAUGAUCUAGUUCGAUGUUCUAAAAACGAGAUGCGUUGUUCCAUCAUGUAUGCAACUCUCCCCUGGAGCGGCAACUUCCAAUGUUUCAACAUCUUUCCAAUGUUUAGUAUAUAAAUGUAGCCAACACCUCAUUCAUCGAUCAUCAUCAUUUUCACUAUACCCACUAUAUAUACUAACGAUCUGAUCCUAUUUUUUCAGAGGUGGGCAAGAACGCAUUUGCAUUCUGAGACUUCGAUAAGUAGCAUGGAUCAGAUAGUAUUUCAGUUCACAGGAGUGUUGAUUGGUGAGUGGUGACUGCAGUUGAUCAUAACAAAUGGCUUUUACCCUACCGUCGGAAUUUUAAAACAGUUCACAGUCUUGCAUCUCGAAUUAUCCUAUAAUUUCAUUUGCACGUCAUAAAAUCUCCCCAAAUUGGGGGGAAUUAUACUGUUGCAAAUGAAUUCUGCCAGCCAGAUUAUGAAGCACUUCUUCAGGGUCAACAAUUGAAUUGAUUCCGUGUCUGGAACAAGAUGAUACAGAGUUUGGAUGCCGUGCCGGUGCUGGUACACUUCUCGGAUGCUGCCAUUUUCAGGCGUUCAUUUUCAUCUUGUAAGAAUUCUUCAGGAAGCUCAGCCCACCAACUCAAGUUAAGAAGAGUGAAUAAAGGCCCAAACAAGGCAACAAAAAACCAGAAAGAACCCACUCUCUGCCCAGCGCUCACGUUGCUCCGCAGCAAACCAACAACAAAGCCUUGCCAACUGGCAUGUCAGCAUGUGAUGCUGUUGUUUAAUCCCAUACUGGCAGUUCACAGAGCGCCACACCAAGUUAAAUAGCCAGUCCUCCGCCCCUUACUCGCCGAGCAAUUAGCGACUGCUUGUGACCCGAGCAGGGGCAUUGCGUCGGGCAAUGCUUUAUUUUUUGGCCUUGGCGUCCAAGCACCUAGAGUUUUGGGGUUUUCCACCAAACUUUUGCAGAAUGAAGCCGAGAAUGGUGGAUUACCACCCUCCACCCUUAACAACAUAAGGGUGUCCUGUAGACAAAUACGCGUUCUUUAUGGUUCUCAAUCUCAAGGGACAAAUGCAUGUGUUCAAAGGGUUCGAAUGGCUUGCGAAAUCGAGUUGAGGAGAAUUUUCCUGCUGGUAACGAUCUGUGAUAUGCAGAACGUUCUCUGUACCUGACGGUGGCCCGCAGAACAUACGCAUUGUUUAAUUUAUUGGCCUAAUAAAAUUUCAGGAUCUGAAUGGUGAUAUAUCUGGCCUUCUGCGACCAUGUUUGGCGCUUGGCUCUUUGAAUGGCUGGUACUCCUGGAGUACAGGUUCACCAGCAGGUAUGUCAAGGCAGGAACCAUGAGAGAAGAGCAGCAUCAGCAGAAAGAGGGUUAUGCUAGCAUUUCGCCUUAAUCUCAUGAGGAAGCUGCUGUGACUGAUCCUGAGAGCCUGAGCCCAAUCUGAAUGAAGACGGUUAUGGCAGCAUCUCAGAUCUAAGGGGAAAACAAAAAUGGAGGGUGGGGCACUACUGGUGAAUGCUUCGGUGGAAAUUAGAAACCGAACUACCUCCUGUAAGUGUCCUAUGCAUGCGGCAGACCUGAUACUUGCAGAGAUGAUGCUUAAUUCUACAUGAUUAGUAGAUGUGUGCUGUACAAUACAACUAAAUGGUUGGACUUGAAGGUGUCAGUGCUCUAGUUUCUGAUGCAGGCAUGCAGCCCGUUUAAUGUAAGAUUCAACGCAGGACUUAGUCCUACUUAGCAUCUCAAUGUACAACUCUCGUGCCAAAAAGAAGCAUUUUCUUCACUUA